rnacentral:misc_RNA from 1 species
GUUUACUACUAAAAGUUAACCAAAUUGGCACAAUAACUGAAUCAAUUAGAGCUGCUCUUGAUUCAAAAGCUGCAGGCUGGGGGGUGAUGGUCAGUCACCGUAGUGGCGAAACGGAAGAUAAUUUUAUCGCUGAUCUAUCUGUUGGUCUGGCCACUGGACAGAUAAAAACUGGAGCCCCUUGUCGGAGUGAACGUCUGGCCAAAUAUAAUCAGCUUCUCCGG